rnacentral:rRNA from 1 species
UACGUAGGGUGCAAGCGUUGUCCGGAAUUAUUGGGCGUAAAGAGCUCGUAGGCGGUCUGUUGCGUCGGCUGUGAAAACCCGGGGCUCAACCCCGGGCCUGCAGCCGAUACGGGCGGACUAGAGUUCGGCAGGGGAGACUGGAAUUCCUGGUGUAGCGGUGAAAUGCGCAGAUAUCAGGAGGAACACCGGUGGCGAAGGCGGGUCUCUGGGCCGUUACUGACGCUGAGGAGCGAAAGCGUGGGGAGCGAACAGG